GGCCCCGUAGCUCAACCGGAUAGAGCAGCGGACUUCUAAUCCGCAGGUUGCAAGUUCGAGUCUUGCCGGGGUCGCCA
rnacentral:tRNA from 1 species